rnacentral:rRNA from 1 species
GACGAACGCUGGCGGCGUGCCUAAUACAUGCAAGUUGAGCGAUGAAGAUUGGUGCUUGCCCCAAUUUGAAGAGCAGCGAACGGGUGAGUAACGCGUGGGGAAUCUGCCUUUGAGCGGGGGACAACAUUUGGAAACGAAUGCUAAUACCGCAUAACAACUUUAAACAUAAGUUUUAAGUUUGAAAGAUGCAAUUGCAUCACUCAAAGAUGAUCCCGCGUUGUAUUAGCUAGUUGGUGAGGUAAAGGCUCACCAAGGCGAUGAUACAUAGCCGACCUGAGAGGGUGAUCGGCCACAUUGGGACUGAGACACGGCCCAAACUCCUACGGGAGGCAGCAGGAGGGAAUCUUCGGCAAUGGACGAAAGUCUGACCGAGCAACGCCGCGUGAGUGAAGAAGGUUUUCGGAUCGUAAAACUCUGUUGGUAGAGAAGAACGUUGGUGAGAGUGGAAAGCUCAUCAAGUGACGGUAACUACCCAGAAAGGGACGGCUAACUACGUG